rnacentral:lncRNA from 1 species
GGCCAAUGUGGAUUCUCCCACCUUUGGUCCUGAGCAGAACAGGUUUUAUCCAUGGACUACAGUUUGCUGACUUCUGACAUAAUGCAUGACAAAUAAUAUAGCCUGGCUGUUCCAAAAUUCACAGUUCAGCAUUGCUGACCAACUUUACAACCCUCUUUUCACUUCACUCAAACACUUGCACCUGGACUUUGGGCCUCAGUGACUGUCAAUUCCUGUUCCCCUAACUCCACAGCUGCCUCCCCCUCACUUUCUUGCUGCUGGAGGGCAGUGGGUGUGAAAUCUGUUCUGAUGGGGCCCUCUGUAAGAGCACAGAAUACCAAGUCAGGAGUGAACACCACUAUUUAAAAUGAG